rnacentral:rRNA from 1 species
UGCGCAGGCGGAAUGAUAAGUCAGUGGUGAAAUCUCCCGGCUCAACCGGGAAACUGCCAUUGAUACUGUUGUUCUUGAGUACACUUGGAGUGGGCGGAAUGUGUCAUGUAGCGGUGAAAUGCUUAGAUAUGACACAGAACACCGAUCGCGAAGGCAGCUCACUAAAUUGUAACUGACGCUCAUGCACGAAAGCGUGGGGAUCAAACA